CUAGUGGUUAGAGUCUAGGGGAGGCAGGUAGCCUAGUGGUUAGAGUCUAGGGGCGGCAGGUAGCCUAGUGGUUAGAGCAGGCAGGUAGCCUAGUGGUUAGAGUGUAGGGGUGGCAGGUAGCCUAGUGGUUAGAGUGUAGGGGAGGCAGGUAGCCUAGUGGUUAGAGUGUAGGGGAGGCAGGUAGCCUAGUGGUUAGAGUGUGGGGAGGCAGGUAGCCUAGUGGUUAGAGUGUAGGGGUGGCAGGUAGCCUAGUGGUUAGAGUGUAGAGGAGGCAGGUAGCCUAGUGGUUAGAGUGUAGAGGAGGCAGGUAGCCUAGUGGUUAGAGUGUAGAGGCAGGCAGGUAGCCUAGUGGUUAGAGUGUAGUGGUUAGAGUGUAGAGGUGGCAGGUAGCCUAGUGGUUAGAGUGUAGGGGUGGCAGGUAGCCUAGUGGUUAGAGUGUAGAGGUGGCAGGUAGCCUAGUGGUUAGAGUGUAGAGGCAGCAGGUAGCCUAGUGGUUAGAGUGUAGGGAGGCAGGUAGCCUAGUGGUUAGAGUGUAGGGGUGGCAGGUAGCCUAGUGGUUAGAGUGUAGGGGUGGCAGGUAGCCUAGUGGUUAGAGUGUAGGGC
ensembl:lncRNA